GAAGUGGUAACCGUUUCCCGUUUGUAAUCUAAAAUGACUGAAAAUUGCAAACUUCGCAAGGCUAUAUUAUCCGCAUUUUACAACAUUUCGCAACGAAGCUCCGGAAUAUUACUAAUUUUGUGAUGCUCUUUCAAGCUGUGAUGAAAUUUUUGUCUAGACUUGUUGAGUUCAACAUUUUGGUUAAUUGGGGAAUGGUCCAUUUACUGAUGUCAAUGUAAAGGUGACUCUUUCUCAUCAAUUAUUUUAAGACCUUGAGUAGAGAUCCGACCAAGAAUUGAAGCCUGGUCUCCCCGCUUGAAAGGCAAGCGUGGUGGGCGCCACAACACUGUGCUGGUUUCAACUGCAAUGUCGUCAUUAUUUCUAUAUUAUGAUACAACAAUUUUUCGUUUCAUAAAUUUGAUAACUGCUUGUGCAAUUUUCUGCAGUCUAUUAGUUUCAUGUUGUCUGCACAUGUACUUUCUUUGGAGACACCAUUUGCCUCCUGAUAAAUCGG